rnacentral:rRNA from 1 species
GUAAACGAUGAGUGCUAAGUGUUGGAGGGUUUCCGCCCUUCAGUGCUGCAGCUAACGCAUUAAGCACUCCGCCUGGGGAGUACGACCGCAAGGUUGAAACUCAAAGGAAUUGACGGGGGCCCGCACAAGCGGUGGAGCAUGUGGUUUAAUUCGAAGCAACGCGAAGAACCUUACCAGGUCUUGACAUCCUCUGACAACCCUAGAGAUAGGGCUUUCCCUUCGGGGACAGAGUGACAGGUGGUGCAUGGUUGUCGUCAGCUCGUGUCGUGAGAUGUUGGGUUAAGUCCCGCAACGAGCGCAACCCUUGUCGUUAGUUGCCAUCAUUCAGUUGGGCACUCUAGCGAGACUGCCGGUGACAAACCGGAGGAAGGUGGGGAUGACGUCAAAUCAUCAUGCCCCUUAUGACCUGGGCUACACACGUGCUACAAUGGACGGUACAACGAGCAGCGAACUCGCGAGGGCAAGCGAAUCUCUUAAAGCCGUUCUCAGUUCGGAUUGCAGGCUGCAACUCGCCUGCAUGAAGCCGGAAUCGCUAGUAAUCGUGGAUCAGCAUGCCACGGUGAAUACGUUCCCGGGCCUUGUACACACCGCCCGUCACACCACGAGAGUUUGUAACACCCAAAGUCGGUGCGGUAACCUUUUGGAGUCCAGCCGCCUAAGGUGGGAUAGAUGAUUGGGGUG